GUGCGGCUAUUCCAAAAUGAGGCGGGCUGGACCUCUCGGGGUUACAGCCUUGCUGAAUUAUUCACCCUUGUCUUUUGCGUACUUCUUGUUUCCUUGGUGGGUUCGCCCACCACUAGGACAAACAUAAACCUUUUGUAAUUGCAAUCAGCGUCAGUAACAAAUUAAUAAUUACAACUUUCAACAACGGAUCUCUUGGUUCUGGCAUCGAUGAAGAACGCAGCGAAAUGCGAUAAGUAGUGUGAAUUGCAGAAUUCAGUGAAUCAUCGAAUCUUUGAACGCACAUUGCGCCCUUUGGUAUUCCAAAGGGCAUGCCUGUUCGAGCGUCAUUUGUACCCUCAAGCUUUGCUUGGUGUUGGGCGUCUUGUCUCUAGCUUUGCUGGAGACUCGCCUUAAAGUAAUUGGCAGCCGGCCUACUGGUUUCGGAGCGCAGCACAAGUCGCACUCUCUAUCAGCAAAGGUCUAGCAUCCAUUAAGCCUUUUUUUCAACUUUUGACCUCGGAUCAGGUAGGGAUACCCGCUGAACUUAAGCAUAUCAAUAAGCGGAGGAA
rnacentral:rRNA from 1 species